AUUGGAGGGCAAGUCUGGUGCCAGCAGCCGCGGUAAUUCCAGCUCCAAUAGCGUAUAUUAAAGCUGUUGCGGUUAAAAAGCUCGUAGUUGGUUCUGUGUUCCACGCUGUUGGUUCACCGCAUGUCUGUGUAACUGACAUGUCGUGGGACGUCCUGCCGGUGGUAGUUAAACGCCAGGUGUUUACUUAGGGGCUAUUUUGUGUGAGUCUCCUCUAACAAGGUCUCUCAUUCAAUACCUUUUGUAAGCCAACUGGUUAGUUUAAAUUACCGAGCGCACUUACCCGCCCUGGUGCUCUUUACUGAGUGUCGAGGAGGGCCGGCACAUUUACUGUGCACAAAUUAGAGUGCUCAAGGCAGGCAAAAUUACGCCUAAAUAGUGGUGCAUGGAAUAAUAGAAUAAGACUUUGGUUUUAUUUUGUUGGUUUUUUGAACCUAAGGUAAUGAUCAAUAUGGACGGUCGGGGGCAUUCGUAUUGCGACGUUAGAGGUGAAAUUCUUGGAUCGUCGCAAGACGCACAAAAGCGAAAGCAUUUGCCAAGUACGUCUUAAUUGAUCAAGAACGAAAGUUAGAGGUUCGAAGGCGAUCAGAUACCGCCCUAGUUCUAACCAUAAACAAUGUCAGCCAGCGAUCCGUCGGAGUUUAUAUCAUGACUCGACGGGCAGCUUCCGGGAAACCAAAGCUUUUGGGUUCCGGGGGAAGUAUGGUUGCAAAGCUGAAACUUAAAGGAAUUGACGGAAGGGCACCACWAGUAGUGGAGCUUGCGGCUCAACUUGACUCAACACGGAAAAUCUCACCAGGCCCUGAC
rnacentral:rRNA from 1 species